rnacentral:rRNA from 1 species
AUAAUGGGUCAGCGACUUAUAUUCUGUAGCAAGGUUAACCGAAUAGGGGAGCCGAAGGGAAACCGAGUCUUAACUGGGCGUUAAGUUGCAGGGUAUAGACCCGAAACCCGGUGAUCUAGCCAUGGGCAGGUUGAAGGUUGGGUAACACUAACUGGAGGACCGAACCGACUAAUGUUGAAAAAUUAGCGGAUGACUUGUGGCUGGGGGUGAAAGGCCAAUCAAACCGGGAGAUAGCUGGUUCUCCCCGAAAGCUAUUUAGGUAGCGCCUCGUGAAUUCAUCUCCGGGGGUAGAGCACUGUUUCGGCAAGGGGGUCAUCCCGACUUACCAACCCGAUGCAAACUGCGAAUACCGGAGAAUGUUAUCACGGGAGACACACGGCGGGUGCUAACGUCCGUCGUGAAGAGGGAAACAACCCAGACCGCCAGCUAAGGUCCCAAAGUCAUGGUUAAGUGGGAAACGAUGUGGGAAGGCCCAGACAGCCAGGAUGUUGGCUUAGAAGCAGCCAUCAUUUAAAGAAAGCGUAAUAGCUCACUGGUCGAGUCGGCCUGCGCGGAAGAUGUAACGGGGCUAAACCAUGCACCGAAGCUGCGGCAGCGACGCUGAUGCGUUGUUGGGUAGGGGAGCGUUCUGUAAGCCUGCGAAGGUGUGCUGUGAGGCAUGCUGGAGGUAUCAGAAGUGCGAAUGCUGACAUAAGUAACGAUAAAGCGGGUGAAAAGCCCGCUCGCCGGAAGACCAAGGGUUCCUGUCCAACGUUAAUCGGGGCAGGGUGAGUCGACCCCUAAGGCGAGGCCGAAAGGCGUAGUCGAUGGGAAACAGGUUAAUAUUCCUGUACUUGGUGUUACUGCGAAGGGGGGACGGAGAAGGCUAUGUUGGCCGGGCGACGGUUGUCCCGGUUUAAGCGUGUAGGCUGGUUUUCCAGGCAAAUCCGGAAAAUCAAGGCUGAGGCGUGAUGACGAGGCACUACGGUGCUGAAGCAACAAAUGCCCUGCUUCCAGGAAAAGCCUCUAAGCAUCAGGUAACAUCAAAUCGUACCCCAAACCGACACAGGUGGUCAGGUAGAGAAUACCAAGGCGCUUGAGAGAACUCGGGUGAAGGAACUAGGCAAAAUGGUGCCGUAACUUCGGGAGAAGGCACGCUGAUAUGUAGGUGAAGUCCCUCGCGGAUGGAGCUGAAAUCAGUCGAAGAUACCAGCUGGCUGCAACUGUUUAUUAAAAACACAGCACUGUGCAAACACGAAAGUGGACGUAUACGGUGUGACGCCUGCCCGGUGCCGGAAGGUUAAUUGAUGGGGUUAGCGCAAGCGAAGCUCUUGAUCGAAGCCCCGGUAAACGGCGGCCGUAACUAUAACGGUCCUAAGGUAGCGAAAUUCCUUGUCGGGUAAGUUCCGACCUGCACGAAUGGCGUAAUGAUGGCCAGGCUGUCUCCACCCGAGACUCAGUGAAAUUGAACUCGCUGUGAAGAUGCAGUGUACCCGCGGCAAGACGGAAAGACCCCGUGAACCUUUACUAUAGCUUGACACUGAACAUUGAGCCUUGAUGUGUAGGAUAGGUGGGAGGCUUUGAAGUGUGGACGCCAGUCUGCAUGGAGCCGACCUUGAAAUACCACCCUUUAAUGUUUGAUGUUCUAACGUGGACCCGUAAUCCGGGUUGCGGACAGUGUCUGGUGGGUAGUUUGACUGGGGCGGUCUCCUCCUAAAGAGUAACGGAGGAGCACGAAGGUUGGCUAAUCCUGGUCGGACAUCAGGAGGUUAGUGCAAUGGCAUAAGCCAGCUUGACUGCGAGCGUGACGGCGCGAGCAGGUGCGAAAGCAGGUCAUAGUGAUCCGGUGGUUCUG